CCUACGGGUGGCAGCAGUAGGGAAUAUUGCUCAAUGGGCGAAACCCUGAAGCAGCAACGCCGCGUGCAGGAUGAAGGUUUUCUGAUUUUAAACCUCUUUUGUUAGAGAAGAUAAUGACUGUAUCUUACGAAUUAGCACCGGCUAAAUCCGUACCCGCAGCCGCGGUAAUACUGAGGGCGCCAGCGUUACUCGGAAUAACUGGGGUUGAAGAGAGCGUAGGCGGGAUAGCAAGUGAGAUGGGAAAACGUAUGGCUUAACCAUAGAACUGCCUUUGAAACUGUUAUUCUCGAGUAGGAGAGAGGUAGGUGGAAUGCGUGGUGUAGGGGUAAAAUCCAUAGAGAUCAAGUGGAAUACUGAUUGCGAAGGCGGCCUACUAGCACAUAACUGACGCUGAUGCGCGAAAGCGUGGGGAGCAAACAGGAUUAGAUACCCGAGUAGUC
rnacentral:rRNA from 1 species